CCAGCAACUUGGAAGAAUGUAUAGCACUUAUAUACAAUGAGUGCAAAAUUGAUUAUAUCAAAUAAAAUUCUAGGUAGACAUAUGAUAAUGACAAAGUCUGCUUAAGUCUUGACCAAAUUACGUGCCAGCAGUCGCGGUAAUACGUAAAAGACUAGUGUUAUUCAUCUUUAAUUGGUUUAAAGGGUACCUAGACAGUAAAUCAAGCCUUAGUAGGGACUAAUUUGCUAGAGUUACUUAUGAGGGGGUUUUAAAGUACUACAGGUGUAGAGAUGAAAUUCUAUUAUACCUUUUUUCGAAAGAAAAACUAUGGCACAGGUAAAGGUGAAAACAUCCCCUUAUGUGAUAACUGACGUUGAGGGACGAAGGCUUCAUGUCACGAACAGGAUUAGAUACCCCAGUAGUAUAAGCAGAAAAUGAUGAAUGUCAUAGAUUAGAUAAACAAUUUAUUCUAUAAAUGAAAGUGUAAGCAUUCCACCUCAAGAGUAAUUUGGCAACAUUGGAACUGAAAUCAUUAGACCGUUUCUGAAACCAGUAGUGAAGUAUGUCGUUUAAUUUGAUGCCACGCAAAAAACCUUACCACAAUUUGAAUAUUUAUAUGUGUCUUAUAUUGAUUUAGGAUAAUAUAUAUACAAGCGUUGCACGGCUGUCUUCAGUUAAUGUCGUGAGAUUUUGGUUAGUUCCAUUAAAUUAACGUAAACCCUUGCUUUAUUUUUAUAUAAAGUAGUUCUCCGCUAUAUUGGAUAUGAUAACAGGGACUAAGACAAGUC
rnacentral:rRNA from 1 species